rnacentral:lncRNA from 1 species
CAUUUUAUUAAUUUACGUUAUUUAAAGUAUUGCUAUAGUUUUAAGUUAAUUGGUUUAUAAUCGAAUUAAUAAUUUUAUUUCGUUGACAUUAAGAAGCUCAUUAAUUAAUUUCUACUAACUUAUCUUUUAUUUAGUUUUUAGCCAAAUCACCAAUUUAACUCAUUUGGCUAGAUUUUUAAUUCCGAUUGGCCACGAUAAAAAUUCAUACGGUUAUUUUC